GAACGACGCUGGGCGGCAGGCCUAACACAUGCAAGUCGAGCGAACCCUUCGGGGUUAGCGGCGGACGGGUUAGUAACGCGUGGGAAUAUACCCUUUGGUACGGAAUAGCCUCGGGAAACUGAGAGUAAUACCGUAUGUGCCCUUCGGGGGAAAGAUUUAUCGCCAAAGGAUUAGCCCGCGUUGGAUUAGAUAGUUGGUGGGGUAAUGGCCUACCAAGUCUACGAUCCAUAGCUGGUUUGAGAGGAUGAUCAGCAACACUGGGACUGAGACACGGCCCAGACUCCUACGGGAGGCAGCAGUGGGGAAUCUUAGACAAUGGGCGCAAGCCUGAUCUAGCCAUGCCGCGUGGACGAUGAAGGCCUUAGGGUUGUAAAGUCCUUUCAGAUGGGAAGAUAAUGACGGUACCAUCAGAAGAAGCCCCGGCUAACUCCGUG
rnacentral:rRNA from 1 species